AUACCUAGUUUUUUGAUAAAACCCUUGUAGUUUCUCUUCUGCUCACUGCACUUUCCUCCCUUUUCCAUCUUCUUUCCCUCGCUUUCUCUCCUCUGUCUGUCUGUCUGUCUCUUUCUCUCUCUUUUCCGUUUCUUGCUCAGAUUUUUUGCUGCUGAAAUUCUCUCCUGACUUUUCAUGAACAUCACAAUGUGAUGACUUCUUCUAUUUUUCUUUUAUUUUCUGGCAGACCAAGCUCUCUCACAGUUCAGUGUUGACUUCCUUUUUUCUGCUCCUUUUUCGGUUUUGCAUGAGCCCCUGCUCGGUGAAAAUGGAUAAGCCCCUGCUUGGUGAAAAUGUGUGUGCUCUUGACCACCUUCCCCUUCAAAUGAUAGCAUGCUUGAGAUAAGAGAUGUGCACUUGGACUUGUGGUUAAUACCAAUAAGAUGUGCAAAUAAUGGUUUGAUGUGUCUAUUAAUAGUUAAGUAGGAUGCUGGAAGCUAUUAGUCCAGUUAAAAGACCAUUUGAUAUUUGGCAAUUAAAGUUUUAAUUUUGGUGGUUUUCUCCCAUUUUUUCAUGGAUUUGUCUAAAGAAUAUGAUUCUGGUUAAACAUUUUAAAACUUGUUUUGGUGUUUUCAAUUUGGAAGUAGAAGUUGGUGAAAUAUUUACCACUAC